ACCCCUCAGUGUCCCCGAGUGCUCCCCAGCACAGCCCCACGGUGCCUGUGGCACAUCCCAGUGAGCCACCUCCCCACGGAGCAAAAGCUGUCCUUGUGCAGCAGGACUGAAGCCUGGGAGCACCUACCUGAGCCCAAGGCUCCUUAAUUCCCCAGCCAGAAAUCAGGACAUUGUUUUGUGCUCUAUGCAUAAUUCAUCAUUCAGAGCUUAAUUAACUAAAGCUCCUCGUGGCAAUGCCCGGAGAGGCUCCCACCAGCUCCAGGCACUUCCAGCCACCCCAGUCCGUGGCUGCCAAGGCCAUGGUGUUGCUCUGGUUGCUGUAUCCAUGCCUCACUGCUGCUCUGUGACGUCCCAAAAGUUUUCAAGACUCUUCUGUUGUGAUUUUCAGUUCUUUGCUCCAGCAGGAUUUGCAUCAGUCAAAGAGCAGCCAAGGUCCCCCCAUCCUGACCAUCCCCACGAAAUCUGCCUUUUACAAAUCUGCCUUUCAGCUGGAAAAUACCUGCUCUGGGGAGGCUUCCCUGCCUUGUCCUCCAUUCUCUGCAUCCAUUCCAGAAGUGCCCUGAUCCAGGCAGGAGGGCUCAGCACCGGUGCUCAGCACCCUGAGCCAGGCAGGAAUGCCCAGGAAGGCUGGAAGUGUCUGCAGGAUGGGAUGAGCUGGAUGCAGACCUUGGCCCUCAGCACCAACCACAGAUCCCGAGAACAGACAGAUGAGGAGAAUCAUCCUCGCAAGGAGGAAUUAGUAAUGAGCCCGCUCAGACCUGGCGUUUGCUCUGUCGCCGCUCCCAGUUCCCACGGCCUGCAGGCAAACACCAAAUCCCUGGAGAUGCUGCACAGGCCGGGAUCAGUGGCUGGUUACCGGGACGUGCAGCCACACAGCACAGCCCUGAGCACAGCACAGUCAAUUAUUCAGCCAAAAGCAGUCCAGCCACUCGCAUCAACCCCUUUCUGUGCCGUGAAAACAGGGGGUUGGGGUCUCCCAGGGACUGAAGGUCGUGGCAUUGCUCAGGUCCCAGAAAAAACCCCUGCAGCUGGAGCAGGGAGCGGUGCUUUGUUCCCCCACAGCUCUGCAGAGGCAGUGGCAGCACCACAGAGCCCACUCCUGGUGGUGUCUGUGGCCUUGGGCCAGCAGGACCCCCCCUGCACCUGCCCUGCUUUGGGCACCUCCCAGGGACCAGAAUCCAUGAACUGGGUGGCACAAGGAGCAGGAGAGUGGCACUAACUGUGGCUGUGCCUCACAGGGGAGGUGACAGCCCCCUCCCAGCCCACCCUGCUCCUCCCUGGUGCUCCAGGCUUGGCUUCCUCCGCAGAGGCUGCUUGCUCUCUUUGUGGGGGGAAAAGGGGAUUUGUACUAAAGCUCUUUGCAUGAAAA